AGAUUUUUACAUAAAUUGUUUUAAUAAUUAAUAAUGAUAUUUCAAUUAUAUGUCUUGAUAUGGAAAGUGUUUUAAGAAUGUAUACCACUAUUGUUAUGACUAGCAAAAAGAUUAAAGUGGGAGGUGGUUACAAUGCUCCAUUUACUAAAAAUAUGGAUACUUUGAUGCAUCUUGUAAUAUAAUUGGAGAGGCGGGGAGGGGGUGAUGAUCUUGCUACCAGAUCAUUUGGCAAUGAUCUGGUAGCAAGUUAUAACAAUUUCUUGUAUAUAAAAAUUACAAAUUUCAUUAAAA
rnacentral:misc_RNA from 1 species